ACGACAUUGCAUUAACGGUUUAUUCAGACAUCACCGUAUGUCACAGAAGUAGCGAAACAAGAGAGAGAAUAUAUUACCCAGAAUAACCCGGUGCUUCAUUAUUACGGAAAAAGAGUAUGCCAAAAAUAAAACAGGUAUGGUAUAAUUUAAUAUCUGAUUUUACCAAAUAAAAUAUCAAUUGUGUAUGCUAGAACACAUAAAUCACAUUCAAAUACAAUUGAACAAUGAGUCAAACACACUAUAGGAUUAAAAAACGAGAAAAAUUCGACAAUGAUAUACAAUUCUACACAUUUUAUUUGAUGAAAAUAACACAGACAUUUCUUGAAGCUAUAUAAAAGGAAAAGAAUCCUGUGUGUUAUCACAUAAUGAUAUAAGGGUUAUAUUCACAACAUUUAGGCAACAUAAGCAGGCAGUGCUGUGCGUGUAACAAAAGCAACUACACCGGCAUACUGGAAGUGUCUGAAAAAACAGCUAGGCAAACAAAUUACAUUUCACAAUAAAUUAAUAAAGUUAAGAAAACGUUUUCAAACACCAAGUAUACCUGGGGUGAUAUUAAAAGAAACAACAACAAAAUAAAGGUAUUCUCCCUCUUGUGGCUAAAUAACUUCUCGGGCCGGUUUCGGAGACAGGGCUUAAAUCAAGACUGAAGUAGGCCUAAAUCAGACUAGUUAAUCCUGGCUAUUUAAGUGGCUUGCAUGAACAUGGCAUAAAUUUGGCUUAGUUAGUCUGAGACUAUGGAGUCCUGGAGUAAGCUUAAUGAGAACACCUGGUUCAAGCCUCAUUAGACUAAGUGGAAGCACAGGCUGUUGGUCCAAUUGUGCUCAUGAAAACCUGAAAUGGAGUAUGAAACACCAUUGUUGCAGUGAAUUUUGAGACAACACAAUGUCAGAGGCAAAGAGAAUUCGCUCCAAAAAUUAUAGUGAGCAUGAAAAAGCACUACUAAAACUAAUUGUAUCGAACCAUCCAGUCAUUGAAAGCAAAAUCCAUACUGCUGCUAUUGAACAUAAGAAAAGAAGUGCUUGGACUGCAAUUGGCAAAGAAUUCAAUGCAAAUGAAGAUGUCACCACAAGAACAGUACAACAACUGCAGGUUCUAUGGAAGAACAUUAAACUGGGAUUAAAAAAAGAGAAUGCAGCAAGCAGAAGAGAGCGAUUUAUUACAGGUGGUGGACCACCAAUAAAGGACACAUGUGAUGAAUUGGGUGACUUGCUGUCUGGUAUAAUAGAGCACCAGCAACCUCUGGAUGGUAUACCAGACAAUGACCAUUUGGACAGUGAACAUGGAGAACUGAGCACAAAUGAGGAAACCAAUCAAGAGCCAGUUCACAACGAGCCUGAACCCUCCACAUCUGCUAUGGCACCCCUGGGAGAUGAAGCUGCUACCAUCCAACAGAGACCAAAAAAGAUAACUAUGCAUGAAAAGUUAGCCAGAGA